UUUUGUGUUCUGCUCCAGAAUCAGCCCCUCCCUUCAAGUGUUCAGUUAAGUUCAGUUAGAGAGACCAACUGUCAUUCUUGCUUCUUGCCUCAUGAUGUUGUUUUAGUUUCUCUCAGACAGUUUGUUAUUGUGUUACAAUUUUCUUUAUUAUUAAAGCUUUGUUUGACAUACACAUGAGCCACUUACUUUGCUGAAAGAAAAGAAACUCUGCUGGAAAAUGGUGGAAUAUCCUAAACUCGUGGGCAACCAGUUGCCGAUGUGAAGCCCUCAUGAAGGAGCCUUGUGGAAUGCACACUCCCCACUUGAAUUCUAGCAAAAUGGUAUUCAGAGGCCACUUAUUAGGAUGUUCCUUAAGGCUUGGAAAGAUGACACACGAUGGUGUUUUUUUGUAGGUAUUGCAGAAAAGUUUCACUAGUUGGAGAUUAUCACUGAACUGUUAAGACGACUACAUCAUUUGAAACAGGAGUUCCAGGCGUUCUGGCGUUCCAGAUUAAACUUGCUUUGGCUUGUUUGUUUUCUAGAUCCCUCUACCAGUUUCUGUAUACUAGAGCCAAUGCAUCUUGUGUGUAUGGCCACUUAACCAAGGAUACAAGGCAGCUGCCACACAGUAUAUUUGUUUCUUCUGACUGGAUUAUUCAGUGGCACUCUCUCCAAAACUGUGAUUACUAAGUAGGAAGUACUAUUUUUCUAUUCUGCACUAGCAAUAUAGUUAAUCAUUAACAAAAGCCAUGAGAAAUGCCUUUCACUGCUAGGGCUUCUAUGGUUAUGACCCGCCCUUUGCAGACAAGCAUCACUCAGACAAUAAACACCUACAGCUACAUCAUCACAGCUCCUGAGGAACAGACACUGUUCCACCUUAUCCCAAAGAGAAUCUGGUUUUGGUUGGCAGCUUAUAAUUAUGAGACAAAAAUGUAUACAUUCUAGAUGAGGAAGAGAGACUUGGGCAUUAUGUAGGAAACUGGCUCUCUUUUAAUUCCUAUAAAAACAUCCCUGGAACUAUUUGUCUACAAUUUGGGAGGCUAAGGCCACUCUGGAGAGACUUCCCUGUACCUGUAAAUUUCAUUCACUUUUUUUUAAAAAAUGGUAAAUUUGUUUAGAUGUUUUUAGAUUCUUGCAUUACAGUUAAGGGGAAAACACACAACUUUGUUUUAUACAGAAUGGUUUGGAUCUCAAAACACAGAUUGAAGCAGAGCAAGUACAGAAACAGACAGAUUCAAGGCAAAUCUUAGUGCCUGCAUACACCACUAGAAAGUGCAUUGUUAACUGCAUGCAUGGAAAAGUUAUAAGGGCUGGAAAGAUGAAACCAGAAUUUAAAAAAUGGGAUCUACAGGAUUAAAAACUAUUAAGAUAUAUGGAUGAAGCUGUGGUUAUGAAAACAGCUGAACACUUUUAAAAA